GCAGAAUCAGAAGAAGUAGGGGUUUCUUGACGAAUAUGGUGUUGAUUGGGGAUUUGAGAAUUAGGAAAUUCUUGUGAAUUGGUAGCUGUGGAGAAGGAAGAAUGGUCGAGGAAGGUGGAAGGUGGUGGCAACCUGAGACGGUGAAUGCCAUUUAUACCGGAGGUCACGCCGACGAUCAGACGCUUCGCCGCCGUUCGAUACAUGUCUCCG
rnacentral:misc_RNA from 1 species